GACAGAGGAGCCAAGCGUUGUCCGGAUUGACUGGGCGUAAAGCGCACGCAGGCGGCCCGGCGCGUGGGGUGUGAAAGCUGGCGGCUUAACUGCCAGACGCCAUCCCAUACGGCUGGGCUCGAGCCCUGCAGAGGUCCAUGGAAUUGCCGGUGUGGUGGUGAAAUGCGUAGAGAUCGGUAGGAACACCAAUGGCGAAGGCAGCUUGCUGGCAUGUUUCUGACGCUAAGGCACGAAAGCGUGGGGAGCGAACAGG
rnacentral:rRNA from 1 species